CGCGAAACUGCGAAUGGCUCAUUAAAUCAGUUAUCGUUUAUUUGAUAGUUCCAUACUACUUGGAUAACCGUGGUAAUUCUAGAGCUAAUACAUGCAAAAAACCGCGACUUCGGAAGCGGUGUAUUUAUUAGAUUAAAGACCAAUGCCCUUCGGGGCUGACAGGUGAUUCAUGAUAACUUCUCGAAUCGCAUGGCCUUGCGCCGGCGAUGGUUCAUUCAAAUUUCUGCCCUAUCAACUUUCGACUUUAGUGUAGUGGACUAAAGUGGUUGCAACGGGUAACGGAGGGUUAGGGCUCGACCCCGGAGAAGGAGCCUGAGAAACGGCUACUACAUCCAAGGAAGGCAGCAGGCGCGCAAAUUACCCAAUCCCGACACGGGGAGGUAGUGACAAUAAAUACUGAUACAGGGCUCUUUUGGGUCUUGUAAUUGGAAUGAGUACAAUUUAAAUCCCUUAACGAGGAACAAUUGGAGGGCAAGUCUGGUGCCAGCAGCCGCGGUAAUUCCAGCUCCAAUAGCGUAUAUUAAAGUUGUUGUGGUUAAAAAGCUCGUAGUUGAACCUGGGCCUCGCGCAGACCGGUCCGCCUCACCGCGUGCACUGGUCCUGCCGGGGCUUUCACUAGGGGAUUCGCAUGUCCUUCACUGGUCGUGCGCGGAACCUGGACUUUUACUGUGAAAAAAUUAGAGUGUUCAAAGCAGGCCUAUGCUCGAAUACAUUAGCAUGGAAUAAUAGAAUAGGACGUGGGGUUCUAUUUUGUUGGUUAUGGGACCGCCGUAAUGAUUAAUAGGGACAGUCGGGGGCAUCAGUAUUCAAUUGUCAGAGGUGAAAUUCUUGGAUUUAUUGAAGACUAACUACUGCGAAAGCAUUUGCCAAGGAUGUUUUCAUUAAUCAGGAACGAAAGUUAGGGGAUCGAAGACGAUCA
rnacentral:rRNA from 2 species